rnacentral:lncRNA from 1 species
GCAAGAGACCGCGGGGGUGGAAAAGGCCGCUCGCUCGAGAUUGCGCGCAGACCGGAUCUCACUACGUUGCCCAGGAUGGUCUUGAACUCCUGGACUCAAGCAAGCCUCUUGCCUCGGCCUCCUAAAAAGCUGGGAUGACAGGCAUGAGUCACCGUGCCCAGUCUUCAUUCUUUAAAUAUUUGGUAGAAUUCAUCAGUGAAGCCAUCUCAUCCGGGGCUUUUCUUUGUUGACAGAUUUUUUAUUACUGAUUCAAUCUCAUUCUAACUAUAGGGUUUGACUCUUUUCACCGACAAUAAUCUGGUGCCCAACAUUGGGCCUCGGAGAAGACUCAGGACCCUGAAGGAGUUGCCCAAAACUGGAGCUAAGGUACCAGCAGGAGCCCAUUGAAGCCUCACCGAAUUCGAGCUUCUCCUUCGGUGGAACUGGAUAAAAUGAGAAGAUAGCAAUCUGCAAACCAAGAAGCAGACCCUCAUCAGACACUGGCACCUUGAUUUUGGACUUCCCAGCCUCCAGAACUAAACAGGGUUUCACCAUGUUGCCCAGGCUGGUCUCCAACUCCUGAGCUCAGGCAAUCUGCCCACCUCGGCCUCCCAAAGUGCUGGGAUUACAGAACUUUACGAUCCUACAGGACUGGAUCAUAGAGCUGUGAACAUGCACUAUUCCUCAAAACAAGAGAAGAAAGAACCCAAAACCCAAAAAUGAUUUGAAGAUCAUCAGGCCACCACUCCCACCAUAGGAACAGAGGACCUAACUUGGGGAACAGGGCGGCUGCCUCUGCCUCAGUUUCAAAGAGCAGGACCAGUGCCCAAUGGAGCCAUCGGUGCAGCGCCACCUGUAGCAGCAGAGGCACAGCACUACUCAGCAGAGCCACUGAGAAUGCAACAGCAAGACAGCCGUCUACAAACCAGGAAGAGUGCCCUCGCCAGAAAAUGGAUUUGCUGGCACUUUGAUAUUGGAAUUCCCAGCCCCCAGGACUGUGAGAAAUAAAUUUCUGUCAUUUAAGCCA